rnacentral:rRNA from 1 species
UACGUAGGGACCGAGCGUUGUCCGGAUUCAUUGGGCGUAAAGAGCUCGUAGGCGGCCACUCAAGUCGAAUGUGAAACCUCGAGGCUUAACCUCGAGCCUGCAUUUGAUACUGGGCGGCUAGAGUCUGGUAGGGGGAUCUGGAAUUCCUGGUGUAGCGGUAGAAUGCGCAGAUAUCAGGAGGAACACCGGUGGCGAAGGCGGGAUCCUGGGCCAGUACUGACGCUGAGGAGCGAAAGCGUGGGGAGCAAACAGG